UAAUAUGCAGUAAAUUUGAAGGAAGCAUUGCAUAUUAUUAAUAUUGUGUUUGCUUUUAGGGUAAAUACAAUUUUAAAGGGAUAUAAUAAAUUAUCUCCCUUUUCUAAAGUUGUAUUCUCAUCUUCAAUUUCUUACACAUUUUUGCUUCCUACGGUAUACAUGUAUAUAUUUAUCUUGGUACAUUACAAUGCGUACUGUAUAAUACUGUUUUGGCAUAUCAUGUACGACCCAGUGUGCAUUAUAUUUCAUAAAUUAUAAAUUAAUUUCAAUUGUUUUUGUAAACACACAUCUAAAAAUAAUCAAUUUCAGAGUGAACAGCGUUGGCUUGAGCAGCCGCGAAGUUGACGAAAUAAUAAAGAAGUGGACGGACCUUAAGAGUCAAGCGAAAAAAAAAGAAAAGAACAGGCGGCGGGAAGCGAGUCUAACAGGAGGCGGCAAAACCAGCAUCUGUCUCACAGACUGGGAGCAGAAGAUAGUAGCCAUUCUACCAGAAGAAACACUGGUGGGAAUCGACGGUGGAUUAGACACGUUUCAGUCCAGUUCAUGCUCUAAACAACAAGCAUGUGUUGACGAGGAAACAUCAAGCAUUU